rnacentral:rRNA from 1 species
AGCGGGGCCCAUCCCGUAAGGCUAAAUACUCCCGAGAGACCGAUAGCGAACCAGUACUGUGAAGGAAAGGUGAAAAGAACCUCGAACAGAGGAGUGAAACAGACCCUGAAACCAUGCGCCUACAAGCGGUCGGAGCAUGUUAAAGUGUGACGGCGUGCCUUUUGCAUAAUGAACCUACGAGUUACUCUCGCUGGCAAGGUUAAGCGAUUCAGUCGCGCAGCCGAAGCGAAAGCAAGUCCGAACAAGGCGUACAGUCAGCGGGAGUAGACGCGAAACCAAGUGAUCUACCCUUGGUCAGGUUGAAGGUUGGGUAACACCAACUGGAGGACCGCACCGAUAAGCGUUGAAAAGCUUACGGAUGAACUGAGGGUAGGAGUGAAAGGCCAAUCAAACUUGGAGAUAGCUCGUACUCCCCGAAAUGCAUUUAGGUGCAGCCUCGAAGCAGAGUGAUAGAGGUAGAGCGACUGAUAAGAUGCGAGGGCUUCACCGCCUAUCAAGUCUUGACAAACUCCGAAUACUAUCACUUGGUCUUCGGGAGUGAGGGCAUGGGUGCUAAGGUCCAUGUCCGAAAGAGGAACAACUCAGACCACCGGCUAAGGUCCCGAAAUAAGGGCUAAGUUGAACAAACGAAGUAAAACUGCAAAGACAGCUAGGAUGUUGGCUUGGAAGCAGCCAUUCAUUUAAAGAGUGCGUAACAGCUCACUAGUCGAGGAGUUUUGCAUGGAUAAUAAUCGGGCAUAAGCCCUUUACCGAAGCUGUGGAUGUCGUAAGACAUGGUAGGGGAGCAUUCCGGCGGCGACGAAGGCCGUCCUCGAGGACGACUGGAGCUCCCGGAAAAGCAAAUGUAGGUAUAAGUAACGAUAAAGGGGGCGCGAAACCCCCUCGCCAUAAGACUAAGGAUUCCUGAUCAACGCUAAUCGGAUCAGGGUAAGUCGGGCCCUAAGGCGCAGCCGAACGGCGCAGCCGAUGGAAGAAACGGUAAAGAUUCCGUUACUGGAUAUAGGAGCGAUGUGGAGACGGAGAAGUGACACACCCGCCUGCCGACGGAAGCGCAGGUUAAAGGAAGUAGGUAAACGCCGGGCAGGCAAAUCCGCCCAGCGUGCCGAAGCUGACAGUAUCGAGAGCCCCCGGGCAAUCGAAUAGCGGUGGUAACCAGGCUCCCAAGAAAAUCCGCUAAGCAUAUUCUAUAUCCACCCGUACCCCAAACGGACACACGUAGUCGGGUAGAAUAUACCAAGGCGCUCGAAAGACUCACGGUUAAGGAACUAGGCAAAUUGACCCUGUAACCUCGGGAAAAAGGGUCCCCAGUAAGAUGGGGCGCAGAGAAUAGGUCCAGGCAACUGUUUAACAAAAACACAGGGCUGUGCAAAAUUUGAAGAUGAAGUAUACAGCCUGACACCUGCCCGGUGCCGGAAGGUUAAGAGGAGAGCUAAUCGCAAGAGAAGGCUUGAAUUGAAGCCCCGGUAAACGGCGGCCGUAACUAUAACGGUCCUAAGGUAGCGAAAUUCCUUGUCGGGUAAGUUCCG